AGAAAAGUAAGCUAAAUUAAGCUAGUGGGUUCAUACCCCAUAAAUAGAGGUUACUCUCUUCUCUA
rnacentral:tRNA from 1 species